UACGGAGGCAGCAGUAGGGAAUCUUCGGCAAUGGGGGGAACCCUGACCGAGCAACGCCGCGUGAGUGAAGAAGGUUUUCGGAUCGUAAAGCUCUGUUGUUAAGGAAGAACGAGUGUGAGAAUGGAAAGUUCAUACUGUGACGGUACUUAACCAGAAAGGGACGGCUAACUACGUGCCAGCAGCCGCGGUAAU
rnacentral:rRNA from 1 species